rnacentral:rRNA from 1 species
ACGUUCGGAUCGCAGGCNGCAACCCGCCUGCGUGAAGUUGGAAUCGCUAGUAAUCGCGGAUCAGCAUGCCGCGGUGAAUACGUUCCCGGGCCUUGUACACACCGCCCGUCACACCAUGGGAGCCGGUAAUAACCCGAAGUCAGUAGUCCAACCACGUGAGGACGCUGCCGAAGGUAGGAUUGGCGACUGGGGUGAAGUCGUAACAAGGUAAC